CGGGUCAGGCCAGGCUCAGCUAGUCUUCCUGGGGCGGGGAGAGGAGCCGGCGCGCGGGCCUGGCCACUACCUCCUGGCCGAGGGGACUUGGACAGUGGCCGGGCGACCCCGGUGACGCGAAGACUGUACCACAAGGACCGGCAGAAGCCUCCUGGCUGAAUGCGGCAGCGCCAGGCCCAAGCAAAAGGAUUUGCAGC